rnacentral:rRNA from 1 species
UGCUAAUACCGAAUGUUGUCAGUUUCUCGCAUGGGAGACUGAUUAAAGAUGGCCUCUACUUGUAASUAUCGCUUUGUGAUGGGUCUGCGUCUGAUUAGCUAGUUGGUGGGGUAAUGGCCUACCAAGGCGACGAUCAGUAGCCGGUCUGAGAGGAUGAACGGCCACAUUGGAACUGAGACACGGUCCAGACUCUACGGGAGGCAGCAGUGGGGAAUCUUCCGCAAUGGGCGAAAGCCUGACGGAGCAACGCCGCGUGAGUGAAGAAGGGUUUCGGCUCGUAAAGCUCUGUUGACGGGGACGAAUGUGCUACUUGCGAAUAGUUAGUAGUAAUGACGGUACCCGUCGAGGAAGCCACGGCUAACUACGUGCCAGCAGCCGCGGUAAUACGUAGGUGGCGAGCGUUGUCCGGAAUUAUUGGGCGUAAAGGGAGCGCAGGCGGGAAGGCAAGCCAGUCUUAAAAGUGCGGGGCUCAACCCCGUGAUGGGAUUGAAACUGUCUUUCUUGAGUGCAGGA